rnacentral:rRNA from 1 species
AUUGAACAUAAGAGUUUGAUCCUGGCUCAGAUUGAACGCUGGCGGCAUGCUUUACACAUGCAAGUCGGACGGCAGCACAGGGAAGCUUGCUUCUCGGGUGGCGAGUGGCGAACGGGUGAGUAACAUAUCGGAACGUACCGGGUAGCGGGGGAUAACUGAUCGAAAGAUCAGCUAAUACCGCAUACGUCUUGAGAGGGAAAGCAGGGGACCUUCGGGCCUUGCGCUAUCCGAGCGGCCGAUAUCUGAUUAGCUGGUUGGCGGGGUAAAGGCCCACCAAGGCGACGAUCAGUAGCGGGUCUGAGAGGAUGAUCCGCCACACUGGGACUGAGACACGGCCCAGACUCCUACGGGAGGCAGCAGUGGGGAAUUUUGGACAAUGGGCGCAAGCCUGAUCCAGCCAUGCCGCGUGUCUGAAGAAGGCCUUCGGGUUGUAAAGGACUUUUGUCAGGGAAGAAAAGGCCGUUGCCAAUAUCGGCUGCAGAUGACGGUACCUGAAGAAUAAGCACCGGCUAACUACGUGCCAGCAGCCGCGGUAAUACGUAGGGUGCGAGCGUUAAUCGGAAUUACUGGGCGUAAAGCGGGCGCAGACGGUUACUUAAGCAGGAUGUGAAAUCCCCGGGCUCAACCCGGGAACUGCGUUCUGAACUGGGUGACUCGAGUGUGUCAGAGGGAGGUGGAAUUCCACGUGUAGCAGUGAAAUGCGUAGAGAUGUGGAGGAAUACCGAUGGCGAAGGCAGCCUCCUGGGAUAACACUGACGUUCAUGUCCGAAAGCGUGGGUAGCAAACAGGAUUAGAAAAUUGACCGCCUGGGGAGUACGGUCGCAAGAUUAAAACUCAAAGGAAUUGACGGGGACCCGCACAAGCGGUGGAUGAUGUGGAUUAAUUCGAUGCAACGCGAAGAACCUUACCUGGUUUUGACAUGUGCGGAAUCCUCCGGAGACGGAGGAGUGCCUUCGGGAGCCGUAACACAGGUGCUGCAUGGCUGUCGUCAGCUCGUGUCGUGAGAUGUUGGGUUAAGUCCCGCAACGAGCGCAACCCUUGUCAUUAGUUGCCAUCAUUCGGUUGGGCACUCUAAUGAGACUGCCGGUGACAAGCCGGAGGAAGGUGGGGAUGACGUCAAGUCCUCAUGGCCCUUAUGACCAGGGCUUCACACGUCAUACAAUGGUCGGUACAGAGGGUAGCCAAGCCGCGAGGCGGAGCCAAUCUCACAAAACCGAUCGUAGUCCGGAUUGCACUCUGCAACUCGAGUGCAUGAAGUCGGAAUCGCUAGUAAUCGCAGGUCAGCAUACUGCGGUGAAUACGUUCCCGGGUCUUGUACACACCGCCCGUCACACCAUGGGAGUGGGGGAUACCAGAAGUAGGUAGGGUAACCGCAAGGAGUCCGCUUACCACGGUAUGCUUCAUGACUGGGGUGAAGUCGUAACAAGGUAGCCGUAGGGGAACCUGCGGCUGGAUCACCUCCUUUCUAG